AAUCCGUCGAUUUCUAAAAUCGUGAGGGUUCAAGUCCCU
rnacentral:tRNA from 1 species